rnacentral:rRNA from 1 species
GACGAACGCUGGCGGCGCGCCUAACACAUGCAAGUCGAACGAGGUUGAGAGGAGCUUGCUUUUCUUGACUUAGUGGCGAACGGGUGAGUAACGCGUGAGGAACCUGCCUCAAAGAGGGGGACAACAGUUGGAAACGACUGCUAAUACCGCAUAAGCCCACAGCUCCGCAUGGAGCAGAGGGAAAAGGAGUGAUCCGCUUUGAGAUGGCCUCGCGUCCGAUUAGCUAGUUGGUGAGGUAAUGGCUCACCAAGGCGACGAUCAGUAGCCGGUCUGAGAGGAUGAACGGCCACAUUGGGACUGAGAUACGGCCCAG